rnacentral:rRNA from 1 species
GAACGCAGCGAAAUGCGAUAACUAAUGUGAAUUGCAGAAUUCAGUGAAUCAUCGAAUCUUUGAACGCACAUUGCGCCCCCUGGUAUUCCGGGGGGCAUGCCUGUUCGAGCGUCAU